rnacentral:tRNA from 1 species
GCCUGGGUGGCUCAGUGGUUGAGCAUCUGCCUUUGACUCAGGUCAUGAUCCCGGGGUCCUGGGAUCAAGUCCCACAUCGGGCU